ACUGCUCAGUAACACGUGGAUAACCUGCCCUUGGGUCCGGCAUAACCCCGGGAAACUGGGGAUAAUUCCGGAUAACGCACAUAUGCUGGAAUGCUUUAUGCGUCAAAUGGAUUCGUCUGCCCAAGGAUGGGUCUGCGGCCUAUCAGGUAGUAGUGGGUGUAAUGUACCUACUAGCCGACGACGGGUACGGGUUGUGAGAGCAAGAGCCCGGAGAUGGAUUCUGAGACAUGAAUCCAGGCCCUACGGGGCGCAGCAGGCGCGAAAACUUUACAAUGCGGGAAACCGUGAUAAGGGGACACCGAGUGCCAGCAUCAUAUGCUGGCUGUCCAGGUGUGUAAAAUACACCUGUUAGCAAGGGCCGGGCAAGACCGGUGCCAGCCGCCGCGGUAACACCGGCGGCCCGAGUGGUGAUCGUGAUUAUUGGGUCUAAAGGGUCCGUAGCCGGUUUGGUCAGUCCUCCGGGAAAUCUGAUAGCUCAACUAUUAGGCUUUCGGGGGAUACUGCCAGACUUGGAACCGGGAGAGGUAAGAGGUACUACAGGGGUAGGAGUGAAAUCUUGUAAUCCCUGUGGGACCACCUGUGGCGAAGGCGUCUUACCAGAACGGGUUCGACGGUGAGGGACGAAAGCUGGGGGCACGAACCGGAUUAGAUACCCGGGUAGUCCCAGCCGUAAACGAUGCUCGCUAGGUGUCAGACAUGGCGCGACCGUGUCUGGUGCCGCAGGGAAGCCGUGAAGCGAGCCACCUGGGAAGUACGGCCGCAAGGCUGAAACUUAAAGGAAUUGGCGGGGGAGCAC
rnacentral:rRNA from 1 species